AAGACAUUGUGUCUUCGAGUCGUUGAUUUCACACUGCCGAGAAAAGCCUCUAGAUAGAAAAUAGGUGCCCGUACCGCAAACCGACACAGGUAGUCAAGAUGAGAAUUCUAAGGUGAGCGAGCGAACUCUCGUUAAGGAACUCGGCAAAAUGACCCCGUAACUUCGGGAGAAGGGGUGCUCUUUAGGGUUAACGCCCAGAAGAGCCGCAGUGAAUAGGCCCAAGCGACUGUUUAUCAAAAACACAGGUCUCUGCUAAACCGUAAGGUGAUGUAUAGGGGCUGACGCCUGCCCGGUGCUGGAAGGUUAAGAGGAGUGGUUAGCUUCUGCGAAGCUACGAAUCGAAGCCCCAGUAAACGGCGGCCGUAACUAUAACGGUCCUAAGGUAGCGAAAUUCCUUGUCGGGUAAGUUCCGACCCGCACGAAAGGCGUAACGAUUUGGGCACUGUCUCAACGAGAGACUCGGUGAAAUCAUAGUACCUGUGAAGAUGCAGGUUACCCGCGACAGGACGGAAAGACCCCGUGGAGCUUUACUGUAGCCUGAUAUUGAAAUUCGGCACAGCUUGUACAGGAUAGGUAGGAGCCUUUGAAACGUGAGCGCUAGCUUACGUGGAGGCGCUGGUGGGAUACUACCCUAGCUGUGUUGGCUUUCUAACCCGCACCACUUAUCGU
rnacentral:rRNA from 1 species